rnacentral:tmRNA from 1 species
GGGGUAGCUUGGUUUCGACUUUGCUAAUCAGGUUUAUAGACGCAGCCGUUCUUUGGUAAGAGAACUGAAACAGACCAAACACAUAAAUGCAAACUCUAAGAAUGCAUCUGCCUACGCCCUAGCGGCGUGAUGGCCGGGUUAGUGGGGGACCUAGGAACAGAAUGCCCCACCCCAAAUAGCUCUUCGGAGCGCUUGUGAAGAUAGUGUGUAACACCAGUUAGUAUGAUUGACAUGGCUGUACAUCGGAUAUAUGCUAGAUAGUGAAGGACGCGGGUUCGACUCCCGCCUACUCCAC